UAUGCAGAUUCUAAAUCAUCAUGUAAUUUUUGUUUGACUAUGUUUGGUUAAAUUUAUUGAUGUUAGGUUUAAUUUGAUGUGAGUUUUAACAUUUUUAUGUGGAGUUUUUCAUAUAUGAGUUUUUCUGAGAUUUUAUGUCAGUAUUUGUUUUUAUAGAGGCAUUGAAUGUUUGCCGUUGUAUGCUGGAAUCCAACCUGAGUUCCCCUGGGAAGAUAGGGUGGAAUACAAAUAAAUUAUGAUGAUGGUGAUGAUGAUGAUGAUGAAAACAUUUCCUAAAAAUCAGUGGAUCCCUGAAGCGCUCUGAAACUUGGCAUGCUUAAAGUUGCAAAUGUUGCCUACAAGUUUUUUUCAUGUCAGGAGCGACUUGAGAAACUGCAAAUUGUUUCCGGUGUGAGAGAAAUGGCCGUCUGCAAGAACGUUGCCCAGGGAAUGCCUGGAUGUUUGAUGUUUUGACAUCCUUGUGAGAGGCUUCUCUCAUGGGGAGCUGGAGCUGACAGAGGGAGCUCAUCUGCACUCUCCCCGGAUUCGAACCGGCAACCUUCAGGUCAGCAACCCAACCUUCAAGUUAGCAGCCCUGCCAGCACAAGGGUUUUAUUUAUUUAUUUAUUUACAGUAUUUAUAUUCCGCCCUUCUCACCCCGAAGGGGACUCAGGGCGGAUCACAUUAUGUACAUAUAGGGCAAACAUUCAAUGCCCAUAAACACAUCGAACCGAGACAGAGACAACAGACAGACAGACAGACAGACAGACGCAGAGGCAGUUUAACCUUCUCCUGAGGGGAUGUUCAAUUCUGGCCACAGGGGGGAGCAGCUGCUUCAUCAUCCACUCUGAUGGCACUUCCUCACUUCCUCAUUCCAACGUUGUAAAUUAGUUAAACUUGCCUCCCCACUUUUAUAAGCGGUACCUUAUUUCCUACUUGAUAGAUGCAACUAUCUUUCGGGUUGCUAGGUCAGCAACGAGCAGGGGCUAUAUUUUAUUUUUAAUUGACGGGUGCUCACCCCGCCACGGGCUGGCCUCGAACUCAUGGUCAGAGUGAUUUAUUGCAGCAGCUGUUUACCAGCCUGCGCCACAGCCCGGCCCCUGGGUUUAACCUAUUGCGCCACCAGGGGCUCUUACAAGUGUGCUAAAUUUUAUCCUGAUAGCCAUACAAGUGAUGGAAAAACUAGCCUUGAAAUUGUAGAUUCAUAUAAUUCAGUUCAAAGCAGAUAAUGUGGAUUAUCUGAUUUGAUACUCUGGAUUAUAUGGCAUUGUGGAAGGAGCCAAAGUGCUUUGUUAAAAUCCAUCCUAAGCAUAGCUGUAAGACUUUCAUUUCUAGAACCACAACUGGUGGAUCCUUGGAGUACUAUUCCUUAAAAAUAACUUUUUGUGUAGACUUUGAUCCUAUUCUGUCAUGUAGCAAUGAGUGCAAAGUGGUCAUUGAUGCAAGAUAAACAUUUUAGUGGAAGACAAAUCUCUUCCAUUUAGUUUCACAGAGCUCCUGAGUGCAAUCCUUUCCUUUAGUGCCAAACCUGGUGGGAAGCCUUUGAGCACUUCUCUUGGAGGUAUUCUUGGGCUUUGUCAAUCCCAUUCUGCAGGCCUUCUACAUGGUCUUCUGAUGUUAAAAGUAAGAAAAUUUCUACAUCAGUGCUACUCAAAGUCAUGUCCCAUGGAUGGAUGCAAGCCUAUGAUCCAUUGUUCACUGGUCUCUGGCAUAUUUCAGGAAAGAAACAAUGGAUACAAAUAUGGUACCAGUUAGCUUCAUAUAGCUCGAGAAGCACAUGCAUAGGUAGUACUCCCAGUCUCAGACUUAUGAUAAAAUGAAGCAGCUGGGGUGAAGAGUUCAUGAGAAAGGAGAAAGGGGAAAAAUAGGUCACUUAACAUUUCUAUGCAUAACGUCUCUAGCUUCUACACUGGCAAAAGACAGGUAACCACUGAGGCACAACUAACAACUCUGAUUAACUAUUCCCUUUUCUAGGAACUUCAAAGAGUUGCUCAAGCUUCAUUUAGCCCGUAUGGUAAUCCAGUAAUUACAGAUUCUAUCCUAUUCUUUUGCACCAUUUUACACUGUAAAAACAUGUUAGCAUCCUUAAACUGAGAAUACAAAUUUACAGGAAUAUAAAGUAAUCAACUCUGCUGGAUGAUUAAUAAACAAACAAAAAGUGCUGGAAGGAUAAAAUACAAAUGCAGCUGCAGCUCAUUUAAACAACCAUUACGCCAUCCCACUUCCACAAUCCUAUAUCCACAGGCUGAUCUGAUUCUUUAUGACAGGCAAUAUCUAUGGAAUACACAAGGUUGAAAGCAAAGGCUCUGCUGUCAGGUGUGUGUGUUCUAUAGCCUUGGCUAUGGAGACAAGGACCCAUUAAUAUAUGAGAUGAGAGCAUUGUGUUGGUGCAAGAUGUAAUUCUUUUAUACGCUAGGAAGUCCAUGAAUGUUCACCCUGUAAAAAAAUAGGCUCCUAUAGCUAUGAUAGAAUGGGAGUAAUAAUUAACUAUGUUUUAGGAUGCCUCUGCACUGCAGAAUGAAUGCAGAUUGACACUACUUUAUGUUGUCGGCCUUGGACCUUGGUCGACAUGACCUUGGAGGUGUCUACGGACAACGCCGGUUCUUCAGCUUAGAAAUGGAGAUGAGCACUAACCCCCAGAAUCAGACACGACUAGACAUAACAUCAAAUCCUUACCUAUGUUGUUGAAGGCUUUCGUGGCCAGAAUCAUUGGGUGGCUGUGAGUUUUUCAGGCUGUAUGGCCAUGUUUCACUAGUAUUCUUUCCUGUCGUUUUGCCUGCAUCUGUGGCAAGCAUUCUCAGAGGUUUGUUGAGUCCUUUGAAUGCUACUGGAACAUGGCCAUACAACCCAAAAAACUCACAGCAACCCAACACUAUUUUAACUUGCCAUGCCUCAGCGCUAUGAAAUCAUGGAAGCUGUAGUUUUACAAGAUUUUUUAGCUUUCUCUGCUAAAGAAUAUUGAUACUACAAACUACAAAUCCUACUGUUCCAUACCAUUGAGCCAUGACUGUUAAAAUGGUGUCAAAGUGGAUCCAUUCUACAGUGUGCAUACAUCAUAAGAAUAUUAUUUCACACUGAUAUUAUUCAAAUUUGAAUAACCAGGAAAGAAAGUGCAAGAUUUCCCAUCUCUCCAAAUGCCCAUUUUAUUUUCCAAAAGAAACCAAGAAAAAAGCAAAGAUGAAAAUGUGCUGAUCCUUCAGAAAAGCAGGAAAUGUCCUUGUGUGCGGAAUGAAUUGGAAAUGAAUUUCAGGGUGGACAUUAAAAUAUGGCACUGUCCUUGUUCUUACAUUAACAAAUGUGAGCAAGAAAAUAAGAGGCUUCCUUCUGCUGCCUACAAGUCAAAUGUCAGGUGACUAUUGUGACAGUUUACCUUUAAAGUAGCUAGUAUUGGAAAGGCAUUUAUUUGACUCUUCUCUUUUGUAGAGAAAAAAUCUAACUGGAAGAAGCAAAAGUCUUCCAUUAAUACUGGUCUAAUUGGCAAAGAAUUAUUUGGAUUCAGAGAAAUGGAAAAUGCAAGCAGCAAUUAAACACGUAAUUAUUGUUACUGCUCUUUGUUUUAUAUCUGUAUGGGUUAAGAGCAGUAAGAGUCAUUUAAGGUUGCUAUCAUAGGUCCUGCCACACUUUUAACAAUGCUUUGGAUUGCUGUGAGUGUUUCUAGCUGUAUUGCCAUGUUUCAGAAGCAUUUUCUCCUAACAUUUUGCUAACAUUAAUGAAGAUGCCAGCCACAGAUGAAGGUGAAACGUUUAGGAGAGAAUGCUGCUGGAACAUGUUCAUACAGCCAGAAAUACUCACAGCAACCCAGUGAUUCUGGCCAUGAAUGCCUUCGACAAUACGGCACUGCCAUUCUUUUAACUUUGUAUUUGCUUUGUAUUUUAUGGAUGAUGAGAUAAGCCAUAUUGGACCUUAUCAGACUUGAAUCUUUUCGCCUCUUGCUCCUUUUUGGGGAUGGGUCCUGCCGAGUGCCAACAGAUGAUGCUGGCUAAGCCUCGCUCCAUUGAUUCCUGAAUUGAUGAGGAAGUAUCGCAAGAUGCUUCCUCGCCCACAAUGGAAAGGGAAUUGGGCUGGAUAGCCCUUGUGGUCUCUUCCAACUCUCGGAGUCUAUGAUUCGUGAUGUUAUCAUGGAUUACAAAACAACAACAACAAGAACAACAACAGAAAUUCCAUUUACAAGAAGAACCCAAGAAUGAACAAGACUUAGCAGAACAGUAUUUUACAACACCCCAAAAUGUUGGUGACCAAAUGAAAGGAGGAAGUCCUGAUGGCUCUUGAUCAUAGAGAAUGGAGCAAUAGCACCCCCUGUGGUUGAAUCUGAGCACAACCUCCAAGGCACAACCUCCAAGCACAACCUCCAAGGCACCAAAGCUGGACUUUAAACACAACAUACCUCCUUUCUGUCUGUUUUGUUCUGUCUAUCCAAAUGACAUUGAAUGUUUGCCGUGUAUGUGUACUGUGAUCCAUCCUGAGUCCCCUUGGGAAGAUAGGGCGGAAUAUAAAUAUAAUAUUAUUAUUGUUACAUUUUUGGCCAAUGAUAAUUGUGUCUGGAGGUCCAUUUUUUGUUAUUCAUUCCUCCAUUUUUUAAUUUCCUUAUGUGUAUAAAGUUCUUCAUAGUAACUUGUGGGUUUAAAUGAUGCCUGGGGACUCCAGCAGUGGUACCAUAGCUAACUCUGCUUAGUGCUGAAUGUCUUUUAGAAUGAAAACCCUAUGAUAAGACAAACCAAAAUGAAACAUGUGAUAGUGUCAGAAGAUGACACGACCAGAUAGGCCAGCACUGAACAAGUUAAUGGACUACUGCGGAACACAAGUAUGAGUUACACUAUGGCUAAUGACACAACUGGACUCAAGCUGAAAGAACAGUCAGUUAUCAAUGUGCUUAAAGAUGAAAGGAAAGUCUGGUGCUGCAUGACAUGGAAUGUGAGAAGCGUGGACACGAGGAAGCUAGACAUUGUAAAACAAGAAACGGCACAUAAAAGCAAUGCUUGAGGUGAGCUAAAAUGGGCAUGAAUUGGACAUUUUGAGUCACAUAUUAUAUAGUGCAUUUAUCAGUAAAUGAAAAUCUAUGUAGAAAUGGGUUGAUUGACUUGCCAAAAAAAAUCUGGAAGAAGGAAUUAAAGACCUUUCUUUUCCAGCAAGCCUACCCAAUCAAUUUUAAUUUAUGAAUUUUAAAUUGAUAGUUUAAAGGUAUGAAAGAUUUAAAAGUGCAUUUAAUCUUAUGGUUAAUUGUUUUUAAUCUAGAUAUUUUAAAUUUUAUUUUAAAUUUAAUAUUUAAAUUAAUUAAAUUUUAUUGUAUUUUAACCCUAUGUUGUACCCUGCCUUGAGCCUUGGAGAGAGAUGGGUUAGAAAUAAAAUGUAAUUAUUUAUUAUUAUUACAAACCAAACAUUGUUCCAUAAUGCAACCUGAAGAACAUACCUGUCAAAUUUAGAGAUAAUGUAAAAUAUAUUUGCACUAUUAAGCCUAAUUGACUGGGAGCCUACCUCACAGGAGGUUCAGCACUUUGGAUAACUCCAUUCAAAUUCAGACUAAAAAGUGGAGCAUAUUCAUCAUGCUGCUAACACUGAGACUGCCAACCAUGAUGCAUAAUGCACAAUGAUGUGAGAGUCACUGCAAAGCUGCAGGAACAGUAAGAAGCUUUAGAUCAAACACAGAGAGUCAGGAUAGCAAAUUCUUUGCACUGCAGUAAAAGUCCUCUAAAAACUGGGUUAACAACUCUGAUGUGUCUUCUUCCAUGUGAUUUAGCCAUUCUUCCAUUUUUUUACUUUCCUGUCGCAAUUCGCACAUAAUACAAACAACAUAAAAAUGUAGAAGAGCUGAGAAAAAAUUUUUUAUGGGGAGAAUAUAAUACUGAGAAUGCUCCUGCUAUCAUGGCUAUUACAUUCAUAGUAAAGGUAAAGGUUUUCCUCUGACUUUAAGUCUAGUCAUUUCUGACUCUGGGGGUUGGUGCUCAUCUCCAUUUCUAAGCCAAAGAGCCGGCGUUGUCCAUAGACACCUCCAAGGUCAUAUGGCUGGCAUGACUGCUAGAGCAGUACCUAUUGAUCUAUUCACAUUUGCGUGUUUUCGAACUGCUAGAUUGGCAGAAGCUGGGGCUAACAGCAGGAGCUCAUCCUGCUCCCUGAAUUCAAACAACUGACCUUUCAGUUGGCAAGUUCAGCAGCUCAGUGGUUUAACCUGCUGCGCCAUGGGGGGCUCCAUUACAUUCAUACUGCAGUCCAAAAAAAGUUAUAUUUCUCAGAUGUGGGUCUUAGACUAAGAAUUGCUUACUAUAUAGAUUUCGAAAUGUUUCAAUAUGUAGCCAACCAGCCAUGUGCAUUUGCAACCAUAGAUCACCUUUCAAUUAUUUGCAGCCAAGAGAUAAACCUUGUUGACUAUUGUGCAUUACCCUACCCUACAUUUAACAAACCAUAUACAUAUGCCACUAUAGAACAUCUUUUGAGUACUUAUAGCAUGGUAUCCAAGGUUAAACCCUGUGAAUUAUUGUGUAAUGUCUGCCUCUAUAUUUAACAAGCUGUAACAAUGACUUUGAGACCCGUCUGUGUAAAGUAUGCAUUUGUACUUAGCAAAUGGAACUUAAUGAUGCUUAGCUUUAUUUGGUUGUAUUGCUCAUGAAGUGUAAUAUGCCUUUAUGUGGAUACGUCAUGAUAGCUUAAAUAAUAAUUCCGGAUUUGACUAUCUAAGAUGUUCUUUCCUUUGGGUAUUUGACUUAUCGAAGCAAGGAUGUAAUGCAACUAUAUGCUUGCAUGCAGCAGCCAGAUCUUGGGCCUGCCAAAUCUUAGCGAAAUGCAUCGCAUCGAUUUGGGCUACGUGUUGUUGAAGGCUUUCAUGGCCGGGAUCACAGGGUUGUUGUAUGUUUUCCGGGCUGAGUUUCUCCAUACAUACCUCACAAGCUCUGAGGAUGCCUGCCAUAGAUGUGGGUGAAACGUCAGGAGAUAAUACUUCUAGAACAUGGCCAUACAGCCCGGAAAACAUACAACAAUCCUGACUUGGACUACGUUUGAAUGAGGGAUCAGCUGUCCGCCUGACUCAGAUGGCCCCUGUCAUGGGUCAUCAUCUUGAUCCCUGAAACUAAGGACAUUACCAUACAAGGUUCUAAAAAUGAAUUCUGGUAUUGCAAAUCUGUCUUGCUUUUUGCUGGAGUAUACCAGAAUAUCCAUUCUUCUUAUUACACCAAUCCAUGCCUCAAGUGCUUGAAGAAACUUGCAAGCACUUUUAGGUUGCCACACCUGCUAGGAUAUAAGUCCUGCCCAUCCUAAUACUCCCUUUUGGAAAAAAAAAAUCAAUUGAAUUUGCAAUAAUUUGUAAUGUAAUACUUCCACUAGUUCACAAAUGCAGUGCCUUUAAACAUUUUAAAUAUUACUUAUUUAUUAAUUUGUUUAUUGUAUUUGUACCAUACCCUUCUCACCCAAAGGGGCCUCAGAGUAGCCUUACAAGAGGCAACAAUCCAAUGCCUUAUCAACAAACAAUAAUAAAAUAAAAUAUAUACAUUAAAAACCAAAAAUUAACAAGCCAUAUAAACAUUAAAAACAAUUAUUAAAAAACCACACAGUCCGAAAUCAUAGUCAAGGCUGUUCCAUUCAUGAUUGCACAUAUUCCAUCUUCUUUUAUUGCACUGUGCUUCUAUUCAAAGGCUUGGUCCCAGAGCCAGGUCUUUAACUUUUUCCUAAAGGUCAGGAGGGAUGGGGCUGAUCUUAUUUCAUUAGGGAGGGAGUUCCACAUCCCCCCACUAGAGAAGGAGUUUCCCACCAACCUCACCUGCAAAGGAGGCGGGACCAAGAGCAGGGCCUCCUCAGAUGGUCUUAAUCUCCAAGAUGGUUCAUAGCGGGAGACAAGUAAGCUGAGCCAGAACUGUUUAGGGCUUUAUAAGCUAAAGCCAGCACUUUGAAUUGUGCUCGGUAGCAGAUGGGCAGCCAGUGGAGCUAAUGCAACAUGGGAGUUGUAUUCUUCCUUGUACACUGCUUUGGUGAGCAACCUGGCUGCUGCCCAUUGGACCACUUGAUGCUUCUGAACAAUCUUCAAGGGCAACCACACAUAGGGCAUGUUGCAGUAGUCUACAGUGUUCCCUCACUUAUCAUGGGGGUUACGUUCCAGGACCACCCGAAAUAAGUGAAAUUCCAUGAAGUAGGUGCACUAUAUUUAUUUCAAUAUUUACACAUUAUAUUAGUAGUUAGGUGGCCUUUCUUCCCUUUGCAAGCCCUCUUCCUGCACUUCUUCCUCUCUGGCACCUGCCAGUUUCCCUUUUGUGCAUGUGCGUCUCUCUCUUCAGCAUCCAGAGUGGCCCGGCUGGAAACCGAUGAGAGAGAGGGUGCAUGCACAAAAGGGAAACUGGCAUCUUCUGCGCAUGCGCACCUCCAGAAAAAAUUGUGAGGCAGUGAGGGAGAGAAAAGCAAACUGCAAAGUAGGGAGGGAACACUGUAUUCAGAAAGUAACAAGAGCAUGGACCACUGUUACCAAGUCUGGCUUCCUAAGGUAUGGGCGCAACUGGCGCAUACAUUUAAUACAAAGGAAAAAAUUCAUUUUGCAAUUACUAGCCUUUCCUUUUUUGUGUAUUCUGAAAGGGAAAAGUCUACGUUUCAUAGGCAAACCAAGUCAGACUGGAGUUUGUGGCAGUUUGCUUCCAAAUAAUUGCUGGAAUAUUUGCAAAACAACUAUUACCGAAAUGCCUAAUCAAGAAGCAAAAAUCCCCAACUCACUUCAGAAGCACUUUUACUAUGCCACCUGAAAGCAUUUUCACUCUACUAUGAGCUCAUGCAUUGGUAAGUCUUUUAAGUUGUAUCCAGCUAACAGCCAUGUGUGGCAAUAUCUUAUCUUUCUUUCUUUCUUCCUUUCUUCCCUUUCUUUCUUUCUUUCUUUCUUUCUUUCUUUCUUUCUUUCUUUCUUUCUUUCUUUCUUUCUUUCUUUCUUUCUUUCUUUCUUCCUUCCUUCCUUCCUUCCUUCCUUCCUUCCUUCCUUCCUUCCUUCCUUCCUUCCUUCCUUCCUUCCAUACCUUUCUCACAAUAUUAGGCCUAAAUAGCUAAAAUAAUAUAUAAAACACGUUUUUAAAUUUUAAAAAAACCUUGAAUAACGUAAAACACAUUCAGCCAAUAGUGAAAGAUACAUCCUGACUACUCCCAGAAGAGUGACUUUAAUUUAUCAUCAUUUCUUUUUAGUAUCCCAAUUAAUAAUUAGAGAAUUAAUCUCCUCCUGCAGAGUAACUUCUUCUCCCCUCAAAAAUUCCUUUCUCUAUAAGACAAUAUAUUUCAACUAGUUAAAAUGAAAGUAAAAAAUUUAAACAUGUUAUUGUGUCUCUUUAAUUUUUUUCAAGCCGUUAGGAAGAAAAACAUCCUGUGGAAGAUAGGAGGAUUUCUACCCCUCCCCAUGGGUUUUGAGUUCUCCCUCAGGGUGACCUAUAAAGCAUAGGCUGCGAUAGCAUUUCAGAAUGGGUGAUAGCUGUGCAUUUUAAAGUGAUCACAUCUUAGGCGGAGAGAUAAAAAUUGCUGACAGUGUUAGAAGCUUGAGAUUCUUCUCUUUGGCCUUUUAUCUUUCCCAAAGUAUUCAUGUAGGAACUGUAGCAAACGCAAAUCUGUCUUUUAUUGCAUUUUUUUCAGAAUCCAAGGAGAGAAGGAUUCUCGCAAAAGCAGUGUUAUGGUUAAUGUUUUAAAAUCCAUGACAAGACUUUCUCUUUUUUCAUUUCUUUUUACAUUGGUGCUGGAAGAGGCUUACAUUUUAUGAAGUGGUGUUCAUAUUUCUCUCUCUAAAAUGCCCCAAAUCUCACAUUUUUCCAUUGGCACUCUAUCACCAAUCAUUCUGUGCAUGAAGAUUAAGGAGCCAUGUCAAAUGAUGUCAUGACAGCGAAAGGGGAAACAAGAUGUCACUGCAGAUUGGAGGAGGGAAAAGGAUGGGAGAGAAACUGGCAGCAAUAGGCUGGGAGGCAUUGCAGAGAUGCAUGUGUCUGCAUAAUCAGGAUGCUUGGAUCAAGGGCUUAGGAAUAAUUGCUUUGCCGGUGAUGACUUCCUUGAAACAUAACACUCAGUGAUGGCUACUCAAACAUUCCCUUUGGGAAAGGAAGAGUGAAGAAUCACAAUUGCAUUAUAUAGGAGGGCUUUUCCAUUAAAUGUGCAAUACGAGGUGGAGCUCUUUCAGGCAUUCAGAUGUUUUGGCCUAAAAUUCACAUCAGCUUCAACCAGUGGUAAAGGUUCUCCUGGUGUUUUGGGAGCUACAAGCCAAAACACCUGAAGGAACACAGGUUCCUAUUCCUGGAAGUAUAUGUGUCAUCAUUGCCAACAUAGAUGGAAAUGUAGCAUUCUCCCCUUGUUUUGUUUCCUUUUCAAUUUUUUAAAAAAAAUAAUUUUAACAUUAGGAAGAAACAUUGCCAUAGGAAGAGGAGACUGCCUAGGGAAAAUGUGUGAGUGUAUACAUUUUUUAAAACAUGCACGGACGGAAAACACAGUAGCUUUUCCCUUCUACUGUCAUUUGCCUUCUGCUUUGUAUGUAAUGGAUGGCUUUCUCAAGCGGAGAACCUUCACUGUCCAUGGAAGUUCUCAGUGCAAUUUGGAACCAUGGAAAAUUAGAAUUUCAAAUUGUGUAUCGAGAACCACCAUGGAUACAGAGGCCAGAAAUAUGCCUCCUGCCACACAACACAUAUUUUUAAAAACACAUUAAGAUUCUCUGCAUAGAAGCAUUCUCAGCUGGUUAUUCCCAUGCAUCAUGAGUAUUUUCCCUCCAAUAUUGGGAACAACCAUCAAGGAAGGACUCUGCAUCCCAUUGUUCCAGAUAUUCCUUCACUUUUGCUUACAUCCGUGGUUCUCAACCUGUGGGUUCCCAGAUGUUUUGGCCUUCAACUCCCAGAAAUCCCAACAGCUGGUAAACUGGUUGGGAUUUCUGGGAGUUGUAGGCCAAAACACCUGGGAACCCACAGGUUGAGAACCACUGGUUUAUAUCCUCUUAAGGGUGAUCCUCUUAAGCAAAUGUUGUUGCUACGUCCUGCUUUGUAUUAUCUACUGCAGUGGUUCACAUUCCAUGAAAUAUCUGUAAUCCACUUCCUAGGUUAUUUUGAAUCAUGUUCCUCCUUGAUAAAGUUAGCAAAUGUAUAUUCUGCCUUGUUCCUUUCAAUACAAUUGGGUUUUUAAAAGAGUUUUAGUCCAUGCUAGUCAACAUGGUAGCACACCAAUUGGUGUCAGUCCACAAGACAUCAACCACUGUCCCCUGGUGAGUUCCCAAGAAAGAAGCAAUGGGCACAUAGAUGUUACCUGUGUCUGGCACUGGGAGUUGGUUGAGGGAAAGCUUCCCUCAUGAGAUUGCUUGAAAUGGUCGGUUUUAAAUUAUCAUUCCUGGAUAUAUCCCAAAUUCUAAUCCACGUGACACUGUUCCAGAGUCCUAUCCAAAUUUGUUGUAAAUUUCCUUCAGGUUAACUUUGACUUGUGGUGAACUUAUGGUGAACCUGUGAAUGAAAGACUUCCAAGCCACUCUGUGAUCAACAGCCCUGCUAGGGCAUGCAUUCUCAAAGCCUUGGCCUACUUUGAUAGACUCUAUCCAUUUGUAAUGUUGUCUUUCUCUUUCCUACCAUCCUUAUCAAGCAUUAUUGUCUUUUCAAAUGAGGCAUGUUUAUGAAUGAUAUGCCAAAAGUACAGCAAUCUCAGUUCAGUCAUCUUGAUUCCUAGGGAGAGCUCAGGAUUGAUGUGCUAUAAUGCCCAUUCAUUUAUGUCCAUGAAAUGAGUAGAACUCUCCUCUAGCACAUAUCUAUCAAGCAAGUUGAUUCUCUUCAUUCUCAGGCAUCAUUUUUAACAAGUUGACUUAUGUUUUCAUUUAAAGAAAGGCAACCACAUGGUAUGAAUGGGUUUGUACUCACCUUUUGUCUCUGAUGGAGCUUCAUCCAUAUGUUCCUCACUCCACAGUGGAUUUUACAGUUUUAGCUAUCUAUGGAUUGAGACAAGGAUACAUCUUGAUUUGUGCUAAGGAACCAACACCUUGUGAAACCUGCUGGGUGUAUAAUCUCUUCAGAGCUCCAACUUUGGUCACAUAAUCUAACCUUUAUCACAAUUACAGAAAUUACCAUUUUGCAGCCUUUCUCAAAAUCCCACAGAUCUCCUGCCCUCCCAAGAUACAACUAGGGUGCUGGUUGUCCCUCAAACACUCUCCAUGUUCAAAGAAACCAGAUAUAGUCCAUUUAAAAUUAUUAGAAGAUAUAUAAACACACAAGUGCAAACACAAAAAAUUAAAUGAAAUGCAGGAUCUGGGGUGAAAAAAAUAUACAGUAUGUGAAUAUUAGGUUGGGCCAGCAAGAGAUUAAAGGGGAAAUAAAAAGUGACAGGAGAAUGAGUAUAACUACAGGCAUACUGCCUGGGGUAUUUUCAGUGAAAGAACACAUUAACCAACCCAGAAUAGCACUCUCAUAUUUCCUCUAUUUGAUGUAGGAAGCAUGCUGAAGCUUGGCUCUAAUUUGGCUAGAAGAAGGAUCCGUUGAUAUGCAAAGCUAGGAGCCACUGCUAUAUAUAACCAUAAUGCCUUUGAUGCAGACAUCUAAAAACAAACUCAAUACAAUAAUUUUGCUGGCAGGAGGGCUUCCAGCUGCAGAAAUACCACACAAGAAGAAUCAAUAAUGGCUUGUUCAUUCAGAAGUGACUAUAGAAGGAAUAAUAAUUUUUCAAAAAACUGCUUCAGGAGCUUUAUUUAUUUAAUUUGUAUAAGGAUCUGAAGGUAACAAACAAUACAAAAAUAGAGGAGUCUCUCCACAUGAAAACCAAUAGCUCUGUUCGGCCAUUUGAACAGAAAUGUAUAAAGAUGCUUAGUAAAAUGUUUUUUGAGUGCCUAUUGUGUAAAGGGUUCAUAAACAUGUCAAAUAUGUAAAUAAUUCAAAUAUGCAAAAAUAUCAAAUAUGUAAAUAAAGUAUGAAGAACUAGCUCUGUUGUGAAUAGUUCCAACUCAUAUGUGUUUCAUCUCAUUAAAAGUGCACUAUAUUAUUGUAACUGAGAGAGGAGUGCCUUCGCACAAUUAAAACUUGAGUGUCAGCUGCACCUGUACCUUGAGACAUCAAACUUGGCUAUGGUAGGCCACACCUUAGUCACAUCCCAUUUGGACUACUGCAGUGCUCUCUACAUGGGGCUAUCUUUGAAGAUGAUUCGGAACCUUCAAUUGGUACAGAGAUUGGCAGCCAGAUUACUAACCGGAGCUCUGCCAGGGAAAGAUCCAGUCCCAUGUUACGGCAGUUCCACUGGCUGUCCUUCAAAAAACAAUUUAAAACCCACUUGUGUUCUCUAUGCAUAUGGAGAAGAGGAGGAUUAAAGAAAGACAGUCUGCUAAUACACUUCCGACUGGAUAUUAUCAUUGCACUCUGGCCCUAGCGGGUCAGCUGGCGUCAUGGACAUUAUUGCAAUUUAGUUAAUUUAAAUUUUUAGUGAACCUCUGGGAGCUCUGUUAAGGUUCAUGUUUUUUAUGGUUAGAUAUAAUUUUACUGUUCAAUUGUGCAAUUUUAAGUUUUAUGUUAUAAUUAGUUGCUCAAUAUCGUUUUUCUUUGGCACUGGGUGGAUCAUUAAUUUAUUCAUGUUUAUACCUGUCUUGAGGUCUUGAAUGUUUGCCUAUGUGUUUUUUGUUUGUUGAAAUCUGCCCUGAGUUCCCUUGGGGAGAUAGGGCGGAAUACAAAUAAAAUUAUUAUUAUU